CCAGACUCCUACGGGAGGCAGCAGUGGGGAAUAUUGGGCAAUGGGCGCAAGCCUGACCCAGCAACGCCGCGUGAAGGAAGAAGGCUUUCGGGUUGUAAACUUCUUUUAAGAGGGAAGAGUAGAAGACGGUACCUCUUGAAUAAGCCACGGCUAACUACGUGCCAGCAGCCGCGGUAAUACGUAGGUGGCAAGCGUUGUCCGGAUUUACUGGGUGUAAAGGGAGCGUAGACGGCGACGCAAGUCUGGAGUGAAAGCCCGGGGCCCAACCCCGGGACUGCUCUGGAAACUGCGUCGCUGGAGUACGGGAGGGGCAGGCGGAAUUCCUGGUGUAGCGGUGAAAUGCGUAGAUAUCAGGAGGAACACCGGUGGCGAAGGCGGCCUGCUGGACUGCAACUGACGUUGAGGCCCGAAAGCGUGGGGAGCAAACAGGAUUAGAUACCCCGGUA
rnacentral:rRNA from 1 species